CCUACGGGUGGCUGCAGUGGGGAAUAUUGGACAAUGGGGGGAACCCUGAUCCAGCCAUGCCGCGUGUGUGAAGAAGGCCCUCGGGUUGUAAAGCACUUUCAGUGAGGAAGAACGCCUGGUGGUUAAUACCCAUCAGGAAAGACAUCACUCACAGAAGAAUCACCGGCUAACUCCGUGCCAGCAGCCGCGGUAAUACGGAGGGUGCGAGCGUUAAUCGGAAUUACUGGGCGUAAAGCGCGCGUAGGUGGCUUGAUAAGCCGGUUGUGAAAGCCCCGGGCUCAACCUGGGAACGGCAUCCGGAACUGUCAAGCUAGAGUGCAGGAGAGGAAGGUAGAAUUCCCGGUGUAGCGGUGAAAUGCGUAGAGAUCGGGAGGAAUACCAGUGGCGAAGGCGGCCUUCUGGACUGACACUGACACUGAGGUGCGAAAGCGUGGGUAGCAAACAGGAUUAGAUACCCCUGUAGUC
rnacentral:rRNA from 1 species